UACGUAGGUGGCAAGCGUUGUCCGGGUUUAUUGGGUUUAAAGGGUGCGUAGGCGGUCUUUUAAGUCAGUGCUGAAAUAUCCCGGCUUAACCGGGAGGGUGGCAUUGAUACUGAAGGACUUGAGUUCAGUCGAGGUAGGCGGAAUUGACGGUGUAGCGGUGAAAUGCUUAGAUAUCGUCAAGAACACCGAUAGUGUAGACAGCUUACUAGGCUGAAACUGACGCUGAGGCACGAAAGUGUGGGGAUCAAACAGG
rnacentral:rRNA from 1 species